CUGACCACAAAAAGAACAUAGCCUCUAGAUUCACAACAAUGCAGAAAAUGUUAGUUUGUUUAGUUUAAAAUCAAAAGGAAACCCAUUAAGUGCUGCUUAAACAAAAUGACCGUUUCCUACUUCUGGGACAUGUUUGCGGUUUUAACUUUUAACCGUAAGGUUACGGCUUGUUAUUGAAAACUACCUUAUUUUUUCCUAUCAGAAUGGCUUUCUGCACAUUUAACGCCGUAUCUCUGCAAGUCUGCUGUUAAGGAUCUGUUUAUUCCUCCUCCAGAUUGGAGGAUCCGAGAUGGUUUUUAAAGGCUUUGCUCCUCGCGAUGACUUGCCUCUCGUCUGAUCCCGGGAUCGGAUCUCGGCGGAGGGAGGGAAAAGCCAGCUUUUGAGAAGUCCCUACCCGGCAGUCUGGCGAAAUGAUAGGCAAACAGGAGCCGCUGCCUUGGCAUCUUCAGCCUUUACUCCAAGAAGAGGGUAGGCCUGGUUAGGAAGACUCCAACCUGGAACUAGCCUUGGGAUCUCACUCCCACCGAGGAGACUCGGGGCGCUGCUCGGGCGCCCGGGGUCCCAGCGCUGCAGUCACCCCGUCGCACGCUGCAGCGGAGUAGAGAGGCCAAGAUAGACCCUGCCUCGGAAGCAGACUGCAAAGGGGUUGACAAUCACCACUGGGAAAUGUGGAAAAAUUGGGAGACCCUUCUCCCAUCGUGCGGACAGAAGACUUAGGCAAAGGUCAGCGGGGGCAGGUGUGUCGCCCACAAGUCCCUAACUUCGCAAGGUCCGAGGAGAGUGCACAGCCCGGCUGAACAAGAAGCAGUUGAGCCCGGGGGUGAGCCAGGCCUGAGCGUACCACCGAUGCUGGAUUGCAUUGUGAUUCUGCAGCCGCAGAAAACCUUCAGUUCCUGGAAUCCAAGUCCCAGACAAAGAGCCAGUGAGAGCUGGGCCAGGAUGAAAGGAACAGGAUACAGAUAGAUGAUCAUCUCUCAAUAAACUGCCAGGCUGUGGCUCCGGAACCAGGGCCCAGAAGCUAUGUGGGAUGCUGAAGGGUGUAGAUACUACAAGUACAACUUGACACCAUUGAGCCCACGGUGCUUGUCAAUAAUCUGUGAAUUAGGUGUGGAGACUGUCACCAUAGAUCAUAACAGUUUCUGAAGGACUCAUUACUGCGCAGCUUGUCAGUGAUCUCCAAAUUAAGGGGGGGGGGUGGUAAGAAGAAAAAGGAGUGGGGACCGCCAACAAAAAGCCAAGAAGGGUAGGAGGAGAGAUAAAAGUCGGAGCCCCAGCUCAGAAGGAGCCUUUAAAGAUUAUCAGGCCAGCGAUCUGAGAAUUCCACAGGGAUGGGUUUGGAAGCCCAGCUCUCCUCUUGAGCCUGGGCUGGAAGGGGAUGCCGAGGACGAGCAGCAGUGGGCCUCCUGGAAAGCUGACUUCUCAGACAUGGCUUUUGAGGUUAGAAGAGCUUUUGGAAGCGGCCUCCUGGUGUCGACAGAAGGCCUGAAGGAUACCAGUCGUCGUCAUCGUCGUCGUCCCGUCCCCCACCCCCCGCGAGAUGGGGGCACACUGAUUCACAGCACGUUAGUGUGCACCAUGGGCAAACCUUCCAGAAGUAGCCAUGGUUUCUUUUAGAUCUGGUGGUGACUGUGGGGUGAUUUUCUUCACACAACAGCCAUGGCUUCUGUUAGGUCUGGUGGUGAGUGUGGGUGACUUUUGCCACAUAGAUUUGCUUUAGCUUCUUGUCAUGCUACAGGUGGAAAGCUUUCUCCCUUUCCCAUGAGCAAUCCAGUCAUUUGCUGCGAAGCGGAACACCUUCCCAUGGCUCUUGGUGGUGCCCGAGAUCCUUGCUUUCUGCGGGUUUAUCGCUUUCUGUUGAUGUUUGGGUUACAUUGGGUUGAGCUUCCAGAAAGGAAGCUUAUGAGUGACAGAGAGCGGAAAGUUAUAUGAGGUCACCCCACGAAGAAGAUCGAGACCCAGGCACAGAGUUCCAGCCACUUGGACUAGGCUGCAGCAGUCACAUGUCACUGGCCUGCACUGCUGUCACUGAAUAUAGGUCAGAAAAGCCUCAAGGAAGGCUUGGGUUUGUUUUAUUCUGAUAGAUGUCACAACUAAAUAAAAUAAUUACAGCUAGAACAUCUUAAAUGAACAUCUGUUUCUUUAAAUUGGGGAAACAACCAUGGCCACUGGACAAAGGAGGCCAUAUGCUUUUGGCAGGAUGAUUUGCCCAAAAUAGUUUGUCAGUCAAACAGGUGUGUGAUACACUUCCAGGCAUUGAUUUGGGGGUACAAAGGGACUAAGGACUCUCUAAAGUAUCUGGUAAUAUCUCUCUCUCUCUCUCUCUCUCUCUCUCUCUCUCUCUCUCCUGAUUUUUACAAUCAGAAGUGCAAUUGAAAACCAACAGUGGCUGCUCAUCCUGUUCUCAGCUUGUCUUUAACAGGGGAAUUUCUGUUUUAAAGCAAUUAGAUCAUUUCAUGGGCAAACUACAUUUUCCCCUAGACAGCAACAGCAGUUGUGGGAAGAGAAUCUCCUGACUGAUAAUUCAAAAAAUGGAAAUGAAAAUCGUGAAGUGUGAAUACUUUAUCUAGAAAAUAAUUGAUCUGGAAUAUCUAAAAGAUGUAAAAAUACAUGAAACCCUGUAAAUCAUAUUGUUUUACAUACAGCCCAGAAGACUUAAAAAAAAAAAAGUGAUGGGGAAUGAUUAGGUUCAAAGCAAGAAGAAAAUAUAUUAAGUUUCUAAUUGCCAAACUCUUUUUUAAAAUGUAUUUACUUCAUCGGUGAGAUUACAUGGAAAGGAAUGAGUACAAUGGGCAGCAUACAGGCCGUCCUGCAUUCCUUAGCUUUCAAGGGUCCUUGCAACUCUUGAGUGAAAUUAUUUGGUAAAAUUGGAUCUGGGCUCCGACAGCCCCUUGUCCAUUUGUUGUGUAUAAUACCACUUCUGAAAAUUAAAGGCACACACAAGAAGAAAAAAUAUGACUAAGCAAAUUUAAGUUGCCAGUCUACCUUGUAUCCAUAUGGUCAAUAGAAAGGGGUAAAAGUUUGUGGUUGUUCUUCAUGACAUCUUGAAAAGUGGAUGAUGGUCCCUGUCAAUAAUCUUUCACACUUCCGAAAUCUAACAAAUUUAACAUAGGAAGAUGGGAUGGGUAAGGUACAAAUGAAAGAGCAUCCAUUAUUCUCAAAGUCAUGCUGUAAAAAUUAAGGUAUCCCUAUGGGUGUUGAGUGAGGGAAGCUUCUUAGUAGAGGAAAGAAAGCUUCACGGCGAUGCAACUUAUUUUCUAGUUCUUACCCCAGCUUUCUGUACCCUAACUUUUCUAGCAUAUUUCUGGUUAAUUAUUUUUAGAAAGUAUGUGAUUUUAUAUUCUUAUUUAUUUAUUUAUUUGGAAAAUAACCCUUCUAAAUGCAUUCCUUUAUCUUCAUUCAUCUGUGUUUCUUAAAUCUUAAAGCUCUGGUCCUUCUGGAAGCAGAGUGGUAGGUACCCCACCUGCCAAGUGGAGUGACUGGGCACUUUUGUGACUUAGAGAGCAGAAGAAAACAUUUUAUAAAGUAGUAUAUGCCAGGGUCCUUACUACAUAACUUUCUGUUUCCUGUAGUAUUUGGGGAUAGAUAAUAGAAUCUCACCUCGUCAGAUUCUUCCAGCCUUUCCCUAAGUCUUGGGUACAACAUUCUCUAUAUCUUUGUC
rnacentral:lncRNA from 1 species